GUGGGUCUCCCAAACCUGAGACAAUACCACAGAGCAGCGAUCCUCUCCACGGGCAUACUCCUUCACGCUACACCAGGCACAUUACAGUGGGUAGACAUGGAAAGAACACAAUUUACAGGCAUGUCUCUAACCGACUACCUAUGGACACCGAGGAAGUUUAGAACUAAACGCACGGACCUGUUCCCAACCACACAACUCACAAUAUCCAUAUGGGACACCUUUAUGGAGACUAUAGGCCACAAGGACACACUACACGCCAAAUCCCCAAUCUCAGUCCUGAGAACAAUAGUACCCAACAUUCCCCUUAAGGACUGGAACACGGCGGGAGUGGCAACAAUAUCACAGCUCUUAGACGCCAAAGGCAUAUUACCAUUCCCAGUCCUACAAACGCAGUGGCAACUCCCAAACAGAGCUAUCUUUUCCUACCUACAACUAAAAAGUGUGAUACAAGCACACACACCUCCAAUACAU